GGUUAAGCUGAUGUUAAAAUUUGUAAACUUGAAGUUCUUGGUUUUUGGUUUAGAGUCUUAGAUUUGGCCUUUCUAUGUUAGGUAUUGAUUCUAAAAUUGCAGUGGUUGAAGUAAUUGGUUCUAGCAUUGUAAGGCCCUUUUGGCAGAGGUUCUGGGCCAAGAAAAAGCACUAUUUUUAGAUGUUAUUGAGAAAAGUAGUUUAAAAAAAUCUAUUUUGUUAUUUUAGAGUUUGCCAAAUUUAAUUUUAAAUCAAU
rnacentral:misc_RNA from 1 species